ensembl:lncRNA
GCCACACCAAUGUGGGAUCCCAGCGGCGUCUGCGACCUACACCACAGCUCAGGCAACGCUGGAUCCUUAACCCACUGAGCAAGGCCAGGGAUCGAACCCGCAACCUCAGGGUUCCUAGUCGGACUCAUUAACCGCUGAGCCACAACGGGAACUCCUCAUCCAAGUUUCAAAAGAGUGGGGGAGGGCGGGUCACUGGGACCCAGGAGAGGGUCAGUGGCAGGAGGCAAACUGAGGCAAACCCACAGGGAGGGAGCUGGGGGUCAAGGCAGGGGGGCCCCUCCCCAAGGCCCACCCAGGCCGGUGCAGAGCCUGUGGGGCCACCUCCAGGGCAGUGAGAGGGGGCUGGGACGGAGGGAUGCAGCACCAGGCCCCGCUGGGCAACAGGCUGCGUUUCCAUUUAAAAAAGCAAACGGUCAAAUCCCCACACCACAUGCAUCAGGCAAAACCACCAAGAAUCCAGGGAAAAUCAGUAAAAUCUCAAUCCCAGAAACACCCCCUCUCGGAACUGGAGCAGUCAAGAAGGAAAUGCAGAGACACUCAGGAUUCAUAUAAGAAUCAGCGAGUGAGUGGGUGUGUGUGAUACUGUUUAAUGAAAUGGCAAUUUCCCAGCUUCUUAACACCAAAGGAGUUUUUCAUAAAUUGUGAAGAGGAGAGGUCUUACAGACCACACUGACCUGGAAAUUAACACUAAGAAGCCACUUCUUAAUGUUAAUUAAUGUCAACACUUUAAAAAACAAUUUCCAGAUCAAAAAUAAAUACCUUAUAAGUGACUAGUUAUACAGAAACUCUUAGAGUGAAUAUAUUUCAUCUUAAAACCUUUAGGAUCAAGUUGAAGUCAUAAUCAGAGGAAGUUUUAUAGUUUUACCCACAAUUACAUUAGUUUGAAAAGAACAAUUUAAGCAUAUUCAUUGUAAGAAACCAGAAAAAUAGUUAAAAAAGAAUAAGAAGGAUUAAAUCAAGAGUGAUAAAACUAAUGGUGAUAAAAUCCCCCUGAACUAAUGAAAAUUCCAAAAAUUCCAAAAGCUGCUUAUUUAAAAACAUAUUUAGGAAAGACACGUUCGUGGCAAGCCUGACCUUUAGGAAAACUGGGAGGGAACAGACACACUCCCAUUUAGGAAUGAGAACAGAGACGUGAUGGCAGAGACGCAGGAGAUGAAACUGUAAAACAAUCUGCCCAACUUUUUGUCAGUACAUUUGAAAAUAUGGAUGAAAUGAAUGACCUUGUGGAAAAAGUCACCCACGGAGUGAGCGUGAGCUGGACAGAGAGCCUCAGCACCACAUAAGCCUGUUAACAGGCCUGGCCAAGCCUCACCAAAAAAAAGGUGAAAAGCUGCCAAAGCCCGACGACUCAUUUGACCAGAUACACAGACCGUCCUAGAACAGAGGAGAGUAGAGUACUCAUCACUUCAUAAAACCUUCGCAAACAACCUAACAAAGGCCCCCCCAGACACAUGAGACAGUCCUUCCCCAGGACAGAGCAAACACACCAAGUCCAUCAGGAGCAGACCGAAGGCUUGGACAUAAUAGGGACACACACCCUGUGGUCAAGAGGGUUUUAUUCCAGAACGUGGGGGUGGGGUCUGCUCCCCCCCGAGACUCAUCGACACAACUCAUCGCCCCCCACGUACUCGAGAGGAGACGGAGAAUCGUGAUUUUUAUCAGACCUCCUAAUCACAAGCUUGGUGUGAACAGAACCAGAGGAAAGCUUAAAGAAUAUAACACAAGACUCUCCCCCAAACCAGCAGUUGGUAUGAUCGUAAAUGAGGAAAUACUGAAAGCGUUAAAGGUGGGAACCGGAGUUCCCUUGUGGUGCAGUGAGUCAAGGACCUGGCACUGUCACUCCAGUGGCUUGGGUCACCGCUGUGGUGAGGGUUUGACCCCUUGCCAAGGAACUUCCACAUGCUGUGGACGUGGCCAAAAAAGAAAAAAAAAAUUAAGAUCAGAAACCACUGAAGAGGAGGACAAAUUUGACAAAAAAUCUUCUGUAGUUUAAAGACACCAGAGGAGUUCCCAUCGUGGCCCAGCGGAAAAUGAAUCCGACCAGCAUCCACGAGGAUGCAGGUUCAAUCCCUGGCCUUGCUCAGUGGGUUAAGGAUCCGGUGACACUGCCAUGAACUAUAGAAAUCUGGACAGAGGACACAAGUCACAGAAAAAAACUCAGAUGAUCCACAAGCUUAUGAAGAGCGUAACUGAGACCUUCUUGCACUGAAACUGACUUAAAAUUAGUCACGCUUUUGUUUAAGUUCAGUUGAAAAUGUCUCAUCCCAUAAAAAAUACUGGUUUUAAGGAAACGUUCCUGUGCACGAGGCCGUUCUUGUGCUGGGCUCCACUGCUACCUGACCUUAUUUAUUUGAUUAUUUAGCUUUUUGGUCUUUUCAGGGCUGCACCUGCAGCACAUGGAGGUUCCCAGGCUAGGGGUCCAAUCGGAGCUGGCUGCCGGCCUACGCCACAGCCACAGUAACGCCAGAUCCGAGGUGCGUCUGUGACCCACACCACAGCUCAUGGCAACACUGGAUCCUUAUUAAUCAAUCCACUAAGGAAGGCCAGGGAUCGAACCCGCAACUUCAUGGUUCCUAGUCGGGUUCAUUUCCACUGCGCCACGACGGGAACUCCAGCCAGAUCUUAUUUUGAUCAAGGCUGACAGGCACUGGACCAAGUUGCUUUGUUUGUAAAUCCUUAAUCAUUAUACGGAUCCAUCAACUGAGGUGUCCUAUGGCUUUGAGGGUGCACUCCUGACUUGUGCAGAGACACGUUCUGUCGCAUCCCACACAGCAGUCUCAGGGGGAAGUUUCUGAGCUUUCCACUCAGAGACUAAAAGGAGGCUGUGGGGCCUGGGGGGCAGCUGCUGGGUGACCCACAAGGAACUUGAGCAAAUCUCGCGGCUUGACUCAUUUUAAAUUCUUUUUUAGUGUACUCCUAACUUCUUUAUUUUUUAUUUCUAACUUCUUUUCCAUGAGCUGCCUCUUUCCAGGUGAACAGACUGCUCCUUCUCCGGUUUAACAAACAGCCAUUACUAUUUUAAAUACCCCAUUCCAACUUUAAAAACGCACACACAGUCAAGGAGCCAGCUCUACCAGGGGUGGUUUCCAGGACUGAUGCCUGAGGUCCUCGGGAUGGAGUGAGGCCAUUAAAGGCAGACCGGGCCGAGGUGGGAACUUGGGGUACACAGAGCGAUGGCGUUUCCCCAAGGCUUUCUGGGGAGCGACGCCCGCUCGCUGCCCCUGACAGCGGGUCUUGUCCUUGAAGCAGAAUGACGCUUGGCUCCACCUGGUCCCUGACCUCCUAUGAAAUGCUAGUUUUCCUCUCAUCUCGUUCGCCGUCUCUGCGCCGGUUUUUGGCUGCUUUGUGGGAGGCCUCUUCUGAGACUUGGCUGCGAGCACCCUCAUCAGACAGCGGAGCCUUUGGAGUGGGGAGGGAGGAGGGCUCCCAGCCCCUCUGCAGGACUUAAACAUUCGGGACAUACACAUCACCUGUGUCACUUAAUUUUCAACGGCAAACAGCAACCAGGGGGCUGUGAGGCACUCUGUGACGGGUGUCUGAGAAAGGAAGAAUCAGCCAUCACCUCGGAAGCACGUACGAGCACCCACAGGCUGGCUUACCAUCACGGCCAUCUGCAACUUCCACCAAAAUCACCGUCUCGACAAUUCCAUUCCCCCCCCCAAAAAAAAUCUUACAAAAUGAGUGGGCCUGGAGUUCCCGCCAUGGUGCAGUGAGAUAAAAAUCUGACUGCAGUGGCUCAAUCACUGCAAAGGCACGGGUU